ensembl:lncRNA
CUUUUUCUUAUAUCCAACUUGAACUUCCUCUGGUGUAAGUCGAGGGCAUUACAUCUCAUCCUAAGUGACAUUAAUUAAUAGCAACUUUCGAAUAAGGGGUCCUGUAGGAGAUGAAGAGAAAGGAAGGCUGAGACAAAACCUACAUCAUCCGGCCACAUCUGCAUUGGACCCAAGGCUGGGUGAACCACAUCUGUAUGGCUUCAGGCUGAAAACCGAAGACAUUUAAAAGGUCUCAACCAAGUGAGCCCACUAAACUGAUUUUGAGUUCAGGUGGAAGAGAGCUCAGACCUGUUCCAGCGUACCAGCAGCUCGAGCAGGUUACAAAACGUUGGUGCCUUUAAGCGUGGAUUUUAAUGGCUUUUAACUUCCUCCUCAACCAGGCAAUGAUUGCCAUGAGUGGAAAGACAUCCCUGUGGAGAUUACUGAGAUGUGUUUGGAGCACGCCUUCAUGCCCAUGCAGUUUCGACAGAGCCUAUCACCAUGCAUGGGCUGAGGGAUGCAGUGAGGAGCUCUGGGCUACGACCAGCCGGGCUUUUCUUAGAUGAAACAAGCAUCCAACAUCAGGCAGGCAAACCCAGCUCCAUCCAAAAAAACCCAGCACUGCAUGGAACAAGGUGGUGGAUGUGCAGGCAGCAGGAUUACCAGCGUCAUCCUGCCAGCUGGGGCUGCAAGGAGCGUGUGCCAGGAAGGAGGCCAAGGUUUCACAUUCCCUUAUGUCUAAAAGGUCUGUGGGGCAUUUGGGUGAAGCACU